rnacentral:rRNA from 1 species
CAAUAGCGUAUAUUAAUGUUGUUGCAGUUAAAAAGCUCGUAGUUGGAUUUCUGGUGGGAGCGGUUGGUCUGCCCCGCGAGGGGUAGUUACUGAGCCGUAUCCGGCCCUUUUCGGGUUGACCGUGGCUGGCAUUAAUUUGUCGGUGCGGGAGGCCCGUCGUUUACUGUGAACAAAUUAGAGUGUUCAAAGCAGGGUGUUCUUGAAUACAUUAGCAUGGAAUAAUGAGAUAGGACUUUGGUGGUUCUCACUUUUGUGGGAUAUUUUGUUGGUUUGCACGCCAAAGUAAUGAUUAAUAGGAGCAGUUGGGGGUAUUCGUAUUCAAUUGUCAGAGGUGAAAUUCUUGGAUUUCUAGAAGACGAACUACUGCGAAAGCAUUUACCAAGGAUGUUUUCAUUA